rfam:Triticum aestivum genome assembly, contig: Triticum_aestivum_CS42_TGACv1_scaffold_457731_5DS
GAUCUACUCCCUCCGUCCGGAAAUACUUGUCAUCAAAAUGAAUAAAAGGGGAUGUAUCUAGAUGUAUAUUAGUUCUAGAUACAUCCCUUUUUGUCCAUUUUGAUGAAAAGUAUUUUUGGACGGAGGGAGUACUAU